rnacentral:rRNA from 1 species
CGCCCUGGGACGGGCCGUUUUGGUAUUAGCUUGUUGGCGGGGUAAUGGCCCACCAAGGCUACGAUGCCUACCGGGCGUGCGAGCGUGGCCCGGCACACUGGGACUGAGACACUGCCCAGACUCCUACGGGAGGCUGCAGUCGAGAAUCUUCGGCAAUGGGCGCAAGCCUGACCGAGCGACGCCGCGUGGAGGACGAAUGCCUUCGGGUUGUAAACUCCUGUCGAGGGGGAGGAAGGACGUGUGCAGAGCACGACUUGACCGAUCCCUGGAGGAAGCACGGGCUAAGUUCGUGCCAGCAGCCGCGGUAAGACGAACCGUGCGAACGUUAUUCGGAAUCACUGGGCUUAAAGCGCGUGUAGGCGGCCCGGCACGUCCGUCGCUGAAAGCCCCCGGCUCAACCGGGGAAGUGGCGUGGAUACGACCGGGCUCGAGGGACGUANNNNNNNCUGGAACUUACGGUGGAGCGGUGAAAUGCGUUGAUAUCGUAAGGAACGCCCGUGGCGAAAGCGAGCCCCUGGACGUCAACUGACGCUGAGACGCGAAAGCUAGGGGAGCGAACGGGAUUAGAUACCCCGGUAGUCCUAGCCGUAAACGAUGAGCACUGGGUAGGGGGCUCGCCGAUGGGCUCCCUGCCGCAGGAAACCGUGAAGUGCUCCGCCGGGGAGUAUGGUCGCAAUGCUGAAACUCAGAGUAAUUGACGGGGGCUCACACAAGCGGUGGAGUAUGUGGCUUAAUUCGAGGCUACGCGCAAACCUUAUCCUGGGCUUGACAUGCACGGAUUAGC